UGAAAAGCCGGAUAAAAACUGCACAUUUCUCUCAGGCGCCAUCUAGUGGUCAUGGUGGGACUAACGCCCCCGAGCCAGCAACCAAACCAGCAGCCACGGCGCCAGCUACUGAAGAGAGCCACAGAAACAAGGGAGAGAUCACAUCUGACCGACACAGCGGCGUCCCCCCAACUCCCGCGGAAUCGGGGGGCGGUCCAGCGACACCCCCUCAAAAAACAGACGCCCCGACUCACAGCGAGCGCAAAUUGGGCAGUGAGGCAGCAGAGGGCUUGCUAGGUAAUGGGGUGGUUCCCCCUUACAGGAUUCCCAGUUUCAGGGAGAGCUUCCCUGUGUUUGCCCCGACUGCUCACCGGCCGUACUACAGCCUGGGACACUGCCUGAGAAAGGACUUCUUCCCAGGUCUCCCCCAGCCCUGCCGCUCUCUGUUCCAGGACUCCUUUACUCCGGAAGUGUCCCAGCGAUCCUCCAUCGACUCCCAAGACUGGCACGGGCGUGGCACAGACGAUCUGGGGAGAUGGACGGAGAAGAAUAUCGCCCACAGACAAUUAAAUAAAGCUCUCCAUGAAUUGCACGAUAGGAGCAAGACCAGCUAAACCCG